ensembl:lncRNA
ACGGAACCUUGAGGAACACCGAAACUUACAGUUGAUUUGUCAGAGGACAAACCAUUCACAGGAACUGAUAUCUUUCCGACAGACAAGACCUAAACCGGGUCAGAACUUGUCUGUGUAGACCAAUUUGGGUUUCCAAUCUCUCUAAAAGAAUGUGGUGAUUGAUGGUAUUAAAUGCAGCACUAAAGAGGAGCACGAGGACAGAUGCAGAGCAUCGGUCUGAUGCCAUUAAAAGGUCAUCUACCACCUUCACAAGUGCAGUCUCAGUGCUAUGAUGGUCUCUAAAACCAGACUGAAGCAUUUCAGAUACAUUGUUUUGUCUUCAGGAAAGCAGUGAGUUACUGCGCAACAGCUUUUUCUAACAUUUUUGUGAGGAAUGGGAGAUUCGAUAUAGGCUGAUAGUUUUUAUAUUUUCUGAGUCAAUGUUUGGCUUUUUUAAGAGAAGCUUUAUUACUGCCACUUUUAGUGAGUUUGGUACACAUCCGGUGGACAGAGAGCCGUUUAUUAUGUUCAACAUAUGAGGCCAAGCACAGGAAGCAGCUCUGUAUCUGUAUUCUUCGUAGCUGUUUACAUACCACCACAGUCAGAGGUUGGCACAAAGACCGCAUUGAAUGAACUGUAUUCCGCCAUAAGCAAACACCCAGAGGCGGCGCUCCUAGUAGCCUGGGACUUUAAUGCAGGGAAACUUAAAUCCCUUUUACCACAUUUCCAUCAGCAUGUUAAAUGUGCAACCAGAGGGAAAAUAAAUCUGGACCUCCUGUACUCCACACACAGAGAAGCAUAUCAAGCUCUCACUCACCCUCCAUUUGGCAAAUCUGACCAUAAUUCCAUUGUCCUGAUUCCUGCUUACAAGCACAAAUUAAAGCAGGAAGCACCAGUGACUAGAUCAGUAAAAAAGUGGUCAGAUGAAGCAGAUGCUAAGCUACAGGACUGAUUUGCAGCACAGACUGGAAUAUGUCCUCGGAUUCCUCCAAUGGCAUUGAGGAAUACACCACAUCAGUCAUCGGCUUUAUCAAUAAGUGCAUCGAGGACAUCAUCCCCACAGUGACUGUACGUACAUACCCCAACCAGAAGCCAUGGAUUACAGGCAACAUUCGCACUGAACUGAAGGGUAGAGCUGUCGCUUUCAAGGUGCGGGACUCUAACACGGAAGCUUAUAAGAAAUCCCGCUAUGCCCUCCGACGAACCAUCAAACAGGCAAAGCGUCAAUACAGGACUAAGAUUGAAUCGUACUACACCGGCUCUGACGCACAUCUGUCAUUCUAUACUUCUGUAUACGUCUGACCCCUCUUUGGACACUGUGUUAACUAACCUCCAGACGAGCUUCAAUGCCAUACAACUCUCCUUCCAUGGCCUCCAACUGCUCUUAAAUGCUAGUAAAACUAAAUACAUGAUCUUCAACCGAUCCCUGCCCACACCUGCCCGCCCGUCCAGCAUCACUACUCUGGACGGCUCUGACUUAGAAUACGUGGACAACUACAAAUACCUAGGUGUCUGGUUAGACUGUAAACUCUCCUUUCAGACUCACAUUAAGCAUCUACAAUCCAAAAUUAAACCUAGAAUCGGCUUCAUAUUUCGCAAAAAAGCCUCCUUCACUCAUGCUACUAAACAUACCCUCGUAAAACUGACUAUCCUACCGAUCUUAGUCUCCAACACUCUACUCAGCAAAUUGGAUGCAGUCUAUCACAGUGCCAUCCGUUUUGUCACCAAAGCCCCAUAUGCUACCCACCACUGUGACCUGUAUGCUCUCAUUGGCUGGCCCUCGCUUCAUAUUCGUCGCCAAACCCACUGGUUCAAGGUCACUUAUAAGUCUUUGCUCGGUAAAGCCCCGCCUUAUCUCAGCUCACUGGUCACCAUAGCAACACCCACCCGUAGCACGCGAUCCAGCAGGUAUAUUUCACUGGUCAUCCCCAGAGCCAACUCCUCUUUGGCCGCCUUUCCUUCCAGUUCUCUGGUGCCAAUGACUGGAACGAAUUCAAAAAUCACUGAAGCUGGAGACUUAAAUCUCCCUUACUAACUUUAAUCAUCAGCUGUUAGAGAAGCUUACGGAUCACUGCACCUGUACACAGCCCAUCUGUAAAUAGCCCAACCAACUACCUCAUCCCCAUAUUAUUUAUUUUUGCUAUUUUGCACCUCAGUAUCUCUACUUGCACAUCAUCGUCUUCACAUCUAUCAAUCCAGUGUUAAUGCUGAAUUGUAAUUAAUUCGCCACUAUGGCCUAUUUAUUGCUUUACCUCACUAAUCUGCAUUUCACUGUAUAUAUAUAUUUAUUUUGUGUUAUUGACUCUACGUUUGUUUGUUCCAUGUGAAACUCUGUGUUGUUGUUUUUGUUGUGUUGUCUGCUCACACUGCUAUGCUUUAUCUUGGCAGGUCGCAGUUGUAAAUGAGAACUUGUUCUCAACUAGCCUACCUGGUUAAAUAAAGGUUAAAUAAAAAAUUACUAAAAUUGGCUUCAUCAAUAAGUGCAUCGAUGACGUCAUCCCCACGUACCCCAACCAGAAGCCAUGGAUUACAGGCAGCAUUCGCAUUGAGCUGAAGGGAGCUGUCGCUUUCAAGGAACGGAAGCUUAUAAGAAAUCCCGCUAUGCCCUCUGACGAACCAUCAAACAGGAAAAGUGUCAAUACAGGACUCAGAUCGCAUUGUACUACACCGGGUCUGACGCUUGUCAGAUGUGGCAGGGCUUGCAAACCAUUACAGACUAUGAAGGGAAGCACAGCUGAGAGCUGCCCAGUGACACGAGCCUACCAGACGAGCUAAACUACUUCUAUGCUCGCUUUGAGGCAAAUAUCACUGAAACAUGCAUGAGAGCACCAGCUGUAUCGGAAGACUGUGUGAUCCCGCUGUCCGCAGCUGAUUCUCCCAGUCCGAUGCUGAAAAACGUCCUCACAGCAUGAUGCUGCCACCAACAUGCUUCACCGUAGGGAUGGUUUCCUCCAGACGUGACGCUUGGCAUUCAGGCC